rnacentral:rRNA from 1 species
UACGGAGGGUGCAAGCGUUAAUCGGAAUUACUGGGCGUAAAGCGUGCGCAGGCGGUUUGUUAGGUCUGCUGUGAAAUCCCCGAGCUCAACUUGGGAAUUGCAGUGGAUACUGGCAGGCUGGAGUAUGGUAGAGGAAGGUGGAAUUCCCGGUGUAGCAGUGAAAUGCGUAGAGAUCGGGAGGAACACCAGUGGCGAAGGCGGCCUUCUGGACCAGCACUGACACUGAGGCACGAAAGCGUGGGGAGCAAACAGG